rnacentral:rRNA from 1 species
UACGGGGGGGGCUAGCGUUGUUCGGAAUUACUGGGCGUAAAGGGCGCGUAGGCGGUCUGCUAAGUUGGAUGUGAAAACUCUGGGCUUAACCCAGAGCCUGCAUUCAAUACUGACAGGCUAGAGUUCUGGAGGGGAUAGCGGAAUUCCUGGUGUAGCGGUGAAAUGCGUAGAGAUGCGGAGGAACACCGAUGGCGAAGGCAGCCCUCUGGGCUAACACUGACGCUGAGGCACGAAAGCGUGGGGAGCAAACAGG